rnacentral:rRNA from 1 species
UACGUAGGGAGCAAGCGUUGUCCGGAAUCAUUGGGCGUAAAGCGCGCGUAGGCGGCCUCAUAAGUCCGUUGUGAAAGUCAAAGGCUCAACCUUUGAAAGCCGAUGGAUACUGUGAGGCUAGAGUCCGGAAGAGGCGACUGGAAUUCCUGGUGUAGCGGUGAAAUGCGCAGAUAUCAGGAGGAACACCGGUGGCGAAGGCGGGUCUCUGGGUCGAUACUGACGCUGAGGAGCGAAAGCGUGGGGAGCGAACAGG